AUUUAUAAUUGAAAUCUAGAAUGAAUGGUCUAAUGAAAUAAAUUCUUUUUUAAUUUUAUUAAAUGAAUUUUUUUUUUUAGUUAAAAAACUGAAAUAAUUUUAUGGGACGAGAAGACCCUAUAGAAUUUUAUAUUAAUUAAAUUUAGUAUUAAUUUAUAAAUUAUUUAUAAAAUUUAUUAAAUAUUUUAUUGGGGUGAUAAUUAAAUUUAAUUAACUUUAAAUUAAAAUUUCAUUGAUUUUUGUUUAUUUGAUCUUUUUAUAUUGAUUAAAAAUUUAAAUUACCUUAGGGAUAACAGCAUAAUUUUAUUAAGAAGUUCUUAUUUUUAAUAUUGUUUAU
rnacentral:rRNA from 1 species